AUGAUCACUCUCAUUUUGAAGAAGGACGGGGCCACAAGAAUAAACGAGUUUAGGCCCAUCAGCCUUAUCCAUUCCAUAGCUCAGCUGAUCACUAAGGUGUCAUCCAUGAGACUGGCUUCUGUCAUCGACCGGAUCAUCUCCCCCACGCAAACGGCCUUUCAGAGGAAGAAAUGCAUUCAUGACAGCUAUCUUUAUGUUCGGAACACUGUUCGGGCUCUGCAUAGGAAUAAAACACCGGCUCUUCUCAUCAAGCUUGACAUUGCUACAACUUUUGAUAGUGUAUCUUGGGAGUGCAUGAUGGAGUUGCUCCAACAACUAGGUUUCUCCUCUCGUUGGAUAGAUUGGAUAGCACUCCUCCUGUCAACCUCCUCCUCGGCCUGCCUACUUAAUGGCGACCCUGGCGAGAGUUUUUUUGCAUCAGCGAGGACUGUGGCAGGGCGAUUUGCUUUCGCCGCUCCUUUUCAUCCUCUGCAUUGA
rnacentral:rRNA from 1 species